GCCCAAUCUGUCAAGCUCCGUUUUAGAAGAAAGGAAAACUGAAAAGUGAACGUAUUUAACAUGAGCUAUUUCCUGCACUCAGGAGGGAAGAAAGCAUGCUCCUAACUGUGUGCAUGAGGAGAUCUGCACUCGUGUUAUCUCUGACCUGCAGCUUAGCCCUUGUGUCUCAGCUGCCAAAAAGCUCCCAUUCAACGUUAUGCUGAGUUCAUCAAUGCUCCACGUGUCAGGAUCCUAACAGGAAAAAGCAGGACAGACAGUCACUCUAUUCAACUGCCUGGGGACCCCAUGACAACUAAAAUCCCCUUGCAGGCCGUCCAUAUCAACCUACGGCAGGUCAGAACGCGUAACCCCUCCAGAACCGCAAGCCCAGGCCCACACCCUUUCCCCUUGUCAACAUUGUCACUUUAAACAGAACAUCUAGCCUUAUCGCCCAACCUGGAGUAAGUAUGACAAUUAAGAUGGAUUGCAAAGCCUGCUUGCGCUUUACAAUUAACAAUAACUUGGCAGCGUGUCCCACGCAACUGUUGGGUGGUAUGGCAAGAACUUUAUCCCUGCUUAGUAUUGCAUUAGCAUAUUUAGUAGGCUGCAAGACAUAAUUCCUCAGAUAUGAACAUAUUUUGUCUUUUCAAAAAAUCUGCAAUUAAGCCAUAACGUGCAGGCAGCGUGCAGCCGGCAGUAAACUUUGCAAACCUGCUGUUAUUUGGGGGGGUGGGGGAAUGUGCUAAAAUGGCCCUUUUUGACCUUAUGUCAAUUAUCUGUUUAAGAAAAAAUGUAUGUAUUCAAUUAAAUAUAUAUAUAUACAAUGUCUUAGCAUGGUCUUUGUUAGGAAGCAGCAAUAUUCCAGAAGCUGGCGGUCGCUCAGCCCAGCAGUCACUUUGUUGCCAGAGCGGUGCUUUAAUGGACUGGGGUGGUUAAAAAGCAAGGGCUGGGGCAUUUGGUUGGUGGUGAUGGUGUUUGCUGAUUUUUGGCUAGAAAAGGCAAAUGUUUCCUUCUGCUCACUUAAAAACUUUGUUUAAAGAAUUGCCGGUGCAGGAGAAACCAACACCAGUGAGCAGCAUCUGUGCAGCGCAUCUCCUCUCUCUCGGUUUACAGAUUUACCACCGCCUUGGUUCUGCAGACACGUUGGAAGACAAAGUCAUUCCAGACUCCCACCAUCAUUAUACUGUUUACUCUCCCUGUCUUAUUUAUUCCUGUUUGUUCUUUACGUUGGAUGCAGAGACGAGGGCGUACAAACAUUGGGACAUUCGAGAAGUUCAGUAUAAUGGCAGGGGAGGGCAAAAGCCAUCAUCUCACAUGUACAGCAUCCCGGAAAGAAUGACAACAUAGCACAACAACGCUCCUGGCAGAGAGGAACUCUGUGUAGAAUGAUUUUCUUUAAAUUAAAAUGAGGGGGAAUGCUGCACAACAUUAAGGAGUAUAUUGAAGUGGGUUUUUUUUUGCCAUGUACAGAAGCCAGGUUAAAGCGUGUUUCUAGUACAAGUGAUAGAAAUAGAAAUAUAGCUCAUGGGUUUUGAUGGCAUCACACUCUUGGACAGCAAAGGCCACCUGAUUGUAGCAAUAAUAAAGCAAAGCCUCUCAUUCUGGUUCCCA
ensembl:lncRNA